AUGUCUGAAUCAUUUACUUCUGAAAUUUUCCAUUCAAUAGUUUCAGGCCAUGGUUGGCUGCUGGUAACUGAAAUCAUGAGAGGCGAUAAUCGUGGAUCACAAGGACCCCUGUGGAAAUCGCUACACACAAAGAGCUUAGAACAGAGCCUGACCCACCGUGAGCACUGUGCAGUCACCUAUUCUAAGCCAAAGCGCAUCUACGGACAGAUUGGGAGAGCGCCCAGACGUGAAGGGAAGAGUGCCCAGACCUGUGCUGGUGGCUCCAUGUGCCACUUCCAAGGACUCGCAUCUGGCGCAGGAUCCAAUGUUUCCCAUUUGGGAAGAUAG
rnacentral:lncRNA from 1 species